AUUCAUUGUGUUUGGUUGAUAGUGAAAUAGGAAACAUUCUUAUUUCGUCCUUUGCACUAAACAAUAAAGGACUAAAAACUUUACACUUAACCAGGAUGCAGUUCAUUUGUUCACUUUCAGUUUCUGAGCAAUCGAGAUUGACCAUGGAACAGACUAUUUCAAUGUUAAAUCAAAGAUCCCCUAUUUCUCCGAAUUUUUUAACUUUUACUUUUGUACUAAGGAGGUCACAGGUCAUAAUGUUUUAGAAUUUCGUGCAAGCCAAAGUUAAAUUCUAUGAUAUUAUUAACGAAUUUAUCAUGACCUAUAAUCCUGUUGCAAUGCAAGGAGGCCGAAAGUAAACAUAUCCGGCUGAAGAAUGAUAUUUGAAACAAGAACUUUAAGUACCUCUCUCAGUUUUCGAUUCUUUCGUCUUGAAAUAGUCAUAAACCUGUCUAAAAAUACGUUUGGGCUGGUAAAUCUGAUGACAACGGGGACAUCAGAUUCAACAAGACAACCAUAAAAAAAGAUAUACGACCUCCAAAAUUCCACAAGGAUUGCGAUUGUGAUGCCAUGCAAUGGCAUGGAU